UAGGCCAGUGUGACUAGGGGAGCAGGUACGUGUGUUCGGUGAGGAAUUCGUCGUGUCAGGCGGUGUAUCCGACGAAGCAACGAUCAGAGAGUCGGAGUUGGUGUCGAUGGUAGUUAUGCUGUCGUUACCAUUUCUUCUAUCCACGUCCGUCACCUGGACUGUGCUGCUUCGACGGCACUCGAUAUCUCCUGGACGGUUGUUUCCAUUGUCUUCGAUUUUUAACUUACCACUAUCUUCGAUGUCCUUUGAAGUUCGAUGUACGCUUUUUUCUUCGCAAUUUGAGUUGUCAACCUUGCGUUUCUUUACCUGUAAGCAGUAACCAAUUCUCUCGACGAUAGUAGCAAAACUAGGCCGGUCUUCGGGACGUGGGUGCCAACAUUGUGUCAUUAUUCCAUAAAUAGGAUCAGGGCAUCCCGCUGGUUUUUCUAGACGCCCUCCUAACGUUACCAUUGUCAUGGCUUCUCUAUUAGUACAACCAGUAUAAGGUAUGUAGCCAAAAGACAUAAUUUCCCACAGCA
rnacentral:misc_RNA from 1 species